rnacentral:tRNA from 7 species
GGACGGUUAGCUCAGCUGGUUAGAGCGCCUCGUUUACACCGAGGAGGUCACUGGUUCAAAUCCAGUAUCGUCCACCA